rnacentral:rRNA from 1 species
CGUAGGGUCCGAGCGUUGUCCGGAAUUAUUGGGGCGUAAAAGGGCUUGUAGGCGGUUCGUCGCGUCGGAAGUGAAAAACUCAGGGGCUUAACCCUGAGCCUGCUUCCGAUACGGGCGAACUAGAGGGGAUGCAGGGGGAGAACGGAAUUCCUGGUGGAGCGGUGGAAUGCGCAGAUAUCAGGAGGAACACCGGUGGCGAAGGCGGUUCUCUGGGCAUUUCCUGACGCUGAGAAGCGAAAGCGUGGGGAGCAAACAGGCUU